GUAGGGUGGCCGAGAGUAAGGCGACGAGUUGUAGCCUCGUAUACAGGGGAAAGUCUCUUACUGCAAUACC
rnacentral:tRNA from 1 species